rnacentral:lncRNA from 1 species
AAAGUUCCUAACGUGGGGCUGUUUUCAAAUUCAAAAUCCGUGGCCGCUCGCUAGCACCUCGCUAGGCGAGCCUGGGGCGAGUAUUCGCCUGGCCUUCGCUAGGCGAGGCAGAGGCGAACGAGACAGUAGCUGACUUUUCUAUUCUUUUUUUUUUUAUGUUUUAUCAUAGCCAUGCAUUAUUCAUCCUAUCCUAUUUAUUGUUGUGAUAUUUCUCCGGUGUAAUCUUCGAUUGCACCCUGAUUUGGUGUUCUGACAUUUUUUUUUUUUUUUUGAGUUUCGUAAAGGUUCACAUAUCCCAGGAAAAGGUUAUUGGCUAGGUAUUCCACUUUAUUUGUGGGAUACCCUUGUGGAGUUUCACCCUAAAUUAAUUUUUAAUGUAUUAAUUUCUAAUGUAUUAAUUU